UCCAUUGUACAUAUGCACCGCAUCUUCUUUAUCUGCUGAUGGACGUGAAGGUUGCUUUCAUGUCUUGGCUAUUGUAAAUAGUGCUGCUAUGAACAUAAGGGUGCGUGUAUCUUUUCCAGUUAUAGUUUUCUCCGGAUAGAUCCCAGGAGUGAGAUUGCUAGAUCUUAUGGUAACUCUAUUUUUAGAUUUUUUAAAGAACAUCCAUGCUGUUCUCUGCAGUGUCUGCACCCAUUUGCAUUCUUAUCAACAGUGUAGGAAGUUCCCUUUUCUCCACACCCUCUCCAGCAUUUAUUAUUUGUAGACUUUUUGGGGCAGACUUUUUGAUGCACUUUGUUUCUUGUCAGCUCCUCCCUUGUCUCUGUAUCCCCUCCCUUCCCUGAUUAGCAACUGUGUGAACCUUCCCUUUGGAACUCAGGGAAGAUCAAGGGGUCUGAAUGAACUCUUAUUUCCUCCAAGCAAGAAGUGGUGGUGCGGGGGUGGGGGAGACAUGGAGAGGAUUUGUGCUGGGACCCGCAGAGUCCCACCUUGUUUCACCCCAGCCCCCACCAGCCUCAGGCUGCCUGGAUCACCGCGGGGCUUCUGCUCGGCCUCAUUUCCACUCUUAUUUCUCCCAGGGGUUUGUCUCCUGAGAUGCUGACACCAAGGUGGCAUUAAAUGAGGGAAGAUUUUGUGAGGGGAUCUGCCCAUGAGGAAACAUCGGGAAAGGGAAGAGGAGGCAGGGAAAGCCAUGAAGCUGCCAAGUGAGUCAGCCCCCAGGUGAAGAGGAGAGGGAGAUGGACAGAUGCCAGGAGGACACUGGCUCUGAAGUCUUUCCCAGCAUCAGGGUCUUUUCUUCGCAUCAGGUUGCCAAAGUAUUGGAGCUUCGGCUUCAACAUCAGUCCUUCCAAUGAAUAUUCAGACGAGGCUCAGCUACAAAAAACCAGAGAGUGGGUCACUAGGUAAUGAGACCUCCAGAAGAGCUGAAAAACAGAACCACAUGCCUGGGCGAUCUGCAUCCGUAUCCUUUGGCUCAGAACGUCCAACCCCACGUCUGUCUAAAAAACGACAUCAGGCCAGAGGAAUGUGAAAGCUGUCUGCCCCACGAAUUGUACCUCUUUACCCGUCUGUAAUAAAGCCAACCUCGCAUCCAUUUCAA